GUGGGCAUCUUACCGGACAGUGCUGGAUUUCUCGGCUUGACUCUAACACUGUCUGGUAACGAUGUUCAA
rnacentral:pre_miRNA from 1 species